UGGAUUAUUCAGCAUUGCGAUAGAUCGUGCUAGUAGGCUUAGCACCACAUCAAUCUACAAAGAUACUUCCGGCUACCUGGAAAUGCACGAAAAUCAAAUAAACAGGAAACUCUGGAGUUGCAUGGCACCACGAAAAUGUGGAUUGACAUUUGAUACCGAACUGCAAUAAUCAUCACUGCUGCUGGUGUGCGCAAGGGCUGAAAACUUGCCUAGCCCAGGCAACGAUUCUCGUGUAGGAUUUUGAUGGCCUGCCUGGAUAUAAAAGCUGCCUGGCAGGUAGCAAGCAAACACGCCCGGGACGAAUGGAGAUGGGGAUAAUCAGGUUACUGUCAGGCGGAGCUCCAAGCUCCCAAGGGAUAGUAGCUUGCAGCGGUCGGGCACGGCGACGACAUCGGAAUUGGGGGGUGGGGCAGUGGCAGAUGGUCCCGAAGGAUUUUGGACGGUUUCCGACCUUACAUCGCGGCCGGAGGGCUCGGGCCAUUGCCAAUGGUAGGCGGUCGCAAGUAGAGGCGUAGCUGGCGAAGGUGGUGGCGUGGGGAUUGGGGUAGGAUGGAGGCGGGAUAAAGGGAAGGAAGAUGAGGCACGCAGUGGCCACGGCAGCGGCAUGACUGACGUCCAGAGGCAACUUCGGCGGUUCGGUUCCCGCAACAGGGUUUCAGUGAUUUUAUUUUUGGUUACGGAUGUUUACCUCGGCUGCGACGGCGAGCAGCAGCUUCUCCGCGGCGACGCCGGCGCAGGCUUUCAGUUGCAUUGGCCUAGGAGUAGGCAUUCACAGAGGAGUAGCGUGCUGCACGUUCCUAGAGCAUAGUUGAGCGAGA
rnacentral:lncRNA from 1 species